UCCACCCGCCUCAGCCUCCCAAAGUGCAGGGAUUACAGGCAUGAGCCACUGCACCAGGCCAAUUCUCAUGAAUCUUUAAAGAACAUGCAUAUGCUAACUUAUUGAAAGUUGCCCACUUUGGAGUUUUGCCAUGAAACACUUUUGACAUCACCAGAUGUAAGGAUAUGGCUUUUCUGUCAUUUAUUAAAGUUGAUAAAAAUAUGAUUAUUGGCUUUUCCAAAUUCCAAAUAUUCAUGUUACAAAAAUUGAAAUAUGAUUCUUUUAGAUAAGAAUAUUAACCUAGAUUUUAACUUUUUAAAUGGUAAGCAAUGUCUAUGACUCUAGGAUUAGUAGAGUAAGAUGCAGUUUUAUUUCUUCGGCACAAGUGAAGUGUCUUAAAAGCACCUUAACCUUACCUUGAUAGAGUAUAAGUGUCAAACAACCAUUGUACUUUGUAAUUACUUUGAUUAAAGAAGAAUUAAAAGUUGUUUACAGCAAUCAAUUGCUCUCAAACUCUCAUGUGUUAGCAGCCAUUAUCUUCCUGCUUCCAAGGGGCAGGUGUUGGCUGAAGUAAGGGACUAGUUAGACCCUUCUGAGAAUCUUUGAUUAAUAUCUUUUCUUUCAUUCUGCAAAAAGACAAUCAAAUAUUUAAUUUUCUAAUCAGCAUUCACUUUGAUUAAUGUCACAGUGAUCAUUUAAGGAAAUAGAAUACAAUGUAAUGUCUUCCUAGUUGAAAGUAUGCUCUUCCUAGCAUAGUAGAAGCAUUUAUCUUUACUGUGUUACCACUAGUUAUGUGUGAGAAAUAACAUUUUCAGGUAAUUGAGAAAUGACGAUAGAAUGAUAAUAAGCAGAGCAGCUAUCCACAGGGUUUCUCUUAUUCUCUAAUCAAUUGAUCUGUGGUAUAUACAACUCUUCUUGUUUUCUUACCCAAUCAAAUUCAGAUGUACUUUGUUGAGCUUAGUUUUUAUACACUUAAAUGUUUUCAACUUUGAUUAUAUUGUUGCUAUCCCUAUCAUUCUGAAGUUCAGGUCAAAAAUACUUUUAAAGACUUCAAUAUUUUAACUAAAAAAUAAGAAAGAAGACUUAAAAAAAAAAAGUACUAACUUUGUUGGAAUCCAAGCCACAAUAUUUAUUUUACUAGAAGAUUAAAUAGGAAAGAUUAUCUUAAGUGCAGAGAGUUUCUUUCAAACCUAUGUGGCUUAUUUUUUACAAAUUUACUAAAAUGAACAUAUAGAAAUAUUAUUUUCAUGUUCAGUCAGCCAAACUGUUAAACAGCCAAAAGAAUUUAACAUCUUGAUUGCAGUGGACUCUUGGCCAACCUUGGUGAAACUGUUCACACAUAAAUAAUGAGCCAUAAAAAAUCUUAAGUGAUUUAUAGGAAGUUGAAUUAUCCAUGCUUCCUCGGGGCCUAAUACUGGACAUUCUAAGUAGUUUCUUUUAAACUUAUUGUCUCAAUAAUUAUUUCCAGGCCUGUGGUUUUCUAUGAAUCAUUAAUUUGUCCUCCAUAUAGAUUAUUAUGAGAUAUCAUACUGUCCUCGUGGCUAUAUUAUACUGAAAAAUUUUAUCUUUUACUGUAAGGUUCACUCAAAAAGAUGAAAUAUUUGAUUCUAGUUUUAGUAUCUAGCUAGACAGACGCAGUAUAUUAUAAUACAUUCUUUGUUUUUCUUUCUUCUACGUGCUAUAUUCUGAUUGAGCUUGUUUUGUUGAACUAAAGAUGGAGAGAAGAAAAUCCAAUUUUAAAAAUCUACUUUAGAUGUACACCUUCCAGGAGAAGGGGAUGGAUUCAAGGAUCCUUGAAAUAAAAUUACUCAAUAUGAAAUAAGGAAAAACAUAUGGAAAACCAUUGUCCAUAUAUAGCACACCUUUUUGCCUUUCCUGAUUCUAUGGGAGAUCUUCUAUAAUUCUGCAAAUUGUAUAUAACCUCUGCGGGUCCAGUAGAAGUUCAAUUGAAUUCCCUCCUCAUCCUGUGGAACAGAUCGUUUUGCCAUUUGCAUAUUCAGCUUCCUGAUCUGUAAAUAUGUCUGUUUUUUAGAUUUUUCUUUUAAACCACUUAUAACAUCUGUCUGGUUCUCUCACUGAAAUACAUUCUUUAAGACACUUAUUUUAUAUCUGUAUGAGAAUCAUGAUUUAAAAUAAAUCAUGAUUUAUUUUUGUUGGAAAAUUAUUUUUUAUCAUCCCUCUAGGACAGGAGUUCUCAACUUCAGUACUGUCGGCAUUUGGAGCCAAAAAUUUUUUCUUAUGAGGGUCGGUUUUGUGCCUUGCAGGAUAUUUAGCAUCUUCUCUGGCCUCUACCCAUUCAAUACCAGUAGAACCACCCAGAAAUGUCUCCAGACAUUGUUAAGAGCUCCAGUUGCAAAUAUUUAAAAUCACCCCUGACUGAGAACAACUGUCCUGGGAUAAAAUAUAUCUGCUUUAAUUUCCAAAAAAAAAAAAAAAAA